rnacentral:tRNA from 1 species
GGCUGGAUCACCUCCUAACAGGGAGACAAUAACUGAUUGUGAUGUCUGAGUGAUUUAUUCUCAGGCCAUGAUCCUGUCAUCUCGAAGGUCGAUCGGUACCUCAACUUGAGGGUAAGAGAAGAGCUGAUUAAUCAGCUUGGAGAUUUAUCCAUCAAUUUCAGUUCCUAAACUUUGUCUAGGUCACCCCACAGGGUCGUCAAAUGUCUAUUUGACGUUACUGAGCGGUAGCAGCUCCUGGGCCAUUAGCUCAGGUGGUUAGAGCGCACCCCUGAUAAGGGUGAGGUCCCUGGUUCAAGUCCAGGAUGGCCCAUUCACCGCCUGCUGAGCAGGCAGGACUACAUGGCUGGGGGUUUAGCUCAGUUGGUAGAGCGCCUGCUUUGCAAGCAGGAUGUCAGCGGUUCGAGUCCGCUAACCUCCAUCCAAUGUUGAGGCUCUGCCCUCAGACCAUGACUCGGACCAUGCAUGCUUUUAAAGGAUGCCAGGAAAGAGUUAGGAGUUUUACUGUUGUGUUGAUCUAGAUGGUUGUUUGCUGAAGAUUUCAGCUUCUUUUCAUUCUUGUCUAGUCAAGAUCUAAUCAAAACCUGAUCAAGAUCUAAUCAAGACUAGUUGAAAGGACGCUGAAUUCAAAAAUGCCCUGGCAACAGGGCAGUUUGAAUGUCAGCAGAACCUUGACAACUGCAUAGUUGAAGUCUGGAAAUAAAGCAUCUCAUGGAUGCUUGAUUCAGGUCUUAAGUCGAAUCCAGUAAUGGAUUUGAUUUGGGAUGUGAGUCAAGAAAAUUCUAUUGAGUUUUUAGAGCCGAGAGCUUCCAGUUUUCUUGUUUGUCCGCCGAGGGCAAACGAGUUUGAUCCUGGCAUUCAAACCGCAACCAAGAGUCUGAGUAAUCAGGUUCAAACGUUGUA